rnacentral:lncRNA from 1 species
UGAAGUUCUUAUAAAGUCUCAGGCUGUAUUAUAGUUUAUAUAGGGAUUUAUUAUAGUGGUCCAAUCAGCAUGACCCAUCUCGACUUUUACAACCCAUCGCACUGGUUUGAGCAGCGCCACCAAGCCACGUAGCUGUGUACCUAAAUCUUUAGCUAAAACACGUUACAGAAAUGAAAUGAAGCUAAGUGAAACUUUGUGCAUUUCUGUGAUAUGACUCACGUUUCAGGUUUCCUAGGGAGAAAGCAUUGAGGAGGCAGUGGGAAAUAGCUACAAGAAGGAAAGGUUUUUCCGCCAGCGACUGCUCUGUGCUGUGCAGUGAGCACUUUAAGCCACAGGAUGUAGACAGGACAGGUCAGAUUGUCAGGAUUCGAGAAGGAGCUAAACCAUCUGUCUUCAGUUUCCCAGCUCAUCUACAAAGACCAGUGGCACCCAGGAAAACAAGAACAUCAAGGAAAGCUGAAGAGAGGCCGCCAGUGGACUGUUCUCAGCAGUUACAAAAGACUAAACCUCUGCCUAAUGUAGACCACUCUUAUGCAUUGCCUGCAGAUCCCACUGAUCUAAAGGCUAGACUCGGAGAAGCCUUGGCUAGAGUGGAGAGUCUGGAGCGAGACAUGAGGAACGUGAAGAAACGAGAACAGCGGGCAAAGAACAUGGUGCUAGCUCUUCUAGAAGACCUGAAUGGAAAGAACUUAAAAAAUGACGAGUUGAAACACAAGCUCAAUUUCUACUCAGGGAAAAUGAAGAGUUGAACUGUAUGGUGGAUGAGUUCCAUGGAUGCCAAGCCUGGUGUUAAAAUGAUGAUGUUAUAUAUGUUGAUAUGUAUUUUUGAUUUGUCUAUAGUUCCGGUGCAGUGGUUUGGUGGGAAAAGACUUUAGCCUCCAGUCUUGUGUGAUAUAACUGUUCUUUUUGUGACAAUUUGUCAGCCUUAGCCUAGUCAUUAUUUUUUGUGUAUUUUUAAAUAUUGUGUCUACAGGAAUGGAUAAAUAUGAAAAAAAAAUGUUGUAAUAAAUAUUACAAUAAUAUUGUCUAAUGAGAAAUAUUUAAAGUGUGCAGUAAAUUUAACUUUUUUAUUUUAAAAAAAUCAGUUUUUCUGACUGCGUUAUUGUAAUACAGUUAGCAUUAAACUUAAAUUCAGGAACUGUUGUGGUAUCUUUGAUUUUGACAAAAAAACAAUAGUGACAUGAGUCUUCAGUGUAUUUGAUGGCUUUUUGAGUUUAGAUAUGGGGGUUAUAAUUUUGAGAAAUAUGUUUCAGGAAAUAUGUUUUUGCAAUCUGGAAAAACUGCAGUACUUUAUAUGCCAUAACAAAACCAUGAAAAACUUUUCAUAACAUUUACA